ACGCUCGACACCUACGGGAGCAGCAGUGGGGAAUAUUGGGCAAUGGGCGCAAGCCUGACCCAGCAACGCCGCGUGAAGGAAGAAGGCCCUCGGGUUGUAAACUUCUUUUAACAGGGACGAAGUAAGUGACGGUACCUGUUGAAUAAGCCACGGCUAACUACGUGCCAGCAGCCGCGGUAAUCUGAGCGGGCUGGCAAGGC
rnacentral:rRNA from 1 species